UCGCUGUGGUAUUGUGACUAUACAAAGGUAUCGUAAUAAGGCUUUAAAUGGGUGCUAAGAGAAUGGUUUAACACGGACUGACUUUCUUAUUUUCUAUAAUGGAAUUUAAUUUAAAAAUGAAAAAGUUUUUAUAAAAUUUUGGGACAAGAAGACCCUGUGAAUUUUUCACUAACGAGGUUAUAAAUUAAUUAUAAUAAUUAGUAAGUUUUCUUAAUGUUGGUUGGGGUGAUUUUUAAAGAUUAUUAAUCUUUACCAAGAUUAUAAAAUAGACCCAUUAUUAAUGGAUGUCUCUAAAAAUACUCCCGGGAUAACAGCGUAAUAACUUUGGAUAGAUCCUAUAGAUAAAGUGGUUUGCGACCUCGAUGUCGCAUUAAGAUUCUUUUAAGACGAAGAAGUCUUGAAAAGAAGUUUGCCCAACUUUUAAAAUCUUACAUGAC
rnacentral:rRNA from 1 species